UGGGGAAUAUUGCACAAUGGGCGCAAGCCUGAUGCAGCCAUGCCGCGUGUGUGAAGAAGGCCUUCGGGUUGUAAAGUACUUUCAGCGGGGAGGAAGGGAGUAAAGUUAAUACCUUUACUCAUUGACGUUACCCGCAGAAGAAGCACCGGCUAACUCCGUGCCAGCAGCCGCGGUAAUACGGAGGGUGCAAGCGUUAAUCGGAAUUACUGGGCGUAAAGCGCACGCAGGCGGUUUGUUAAGUCAGAUGUGAAAUCCCCGGGCUCAACCUGGGAACUGCAUCUGAUACUGGCAAGCUUGAGUGUCGUAGAGGGGGGUAGAAUUCCAGGUGUAGCGGUGAAAUGCGUAGAGAUCUGGAGGAAUACCGGUGGCGAAGGCGGCCCCCUGGACGAAGACUGACGCUCAGGUGCGAAAGCGUGGGGAGCAAACAGG
rnacentral:rRNA from 1 species